rnacentral:rRNA from 1 species
AUCUUCCGCAAUGGACGAAAGUCUGACGGAGCAACGCCGCGUGAGUGAUGAAGGUUUUCGGAUCGUAAAACUCUGUUGUUAGGGAAGAACAAGUACCGUUCGAAUAGGGCGGUACCUUGACGGUACCUAACCAGAAAGCCACGGCUAACUACGUGCCAGCAGCCGCGGUAAUACGUAGGUGGCAAGCGUUGUCCGGAAUUAUUGGGCGUAAAGCGCGCGCAGGUGGUUCUUUAAGUCUGAUGUGAAAGCCCCCGGCUCAACCGGGGAGGGUCAUUGGAAACUGGGGAACUUGAGUGCAGAAGAGGAAAGUGGAAUUCCACGUGUAGCGGUGAAAUGCGUAGAGAUGUGGAGGAACACCAGUGGCGAAGGCGACUUUCUGGUCUGUAACUGACACUGAUGCGCGAAAGCGUGGGGAGCGAACAGG